UACAGAGCCUGCAAGCGUUAUUCGGAUUCACUGGGCGUAAAGGGUGCGCAGGCGGCCGUGUGUGUGAGGUGUGAAAGCCCGGGGCUUAACCCCGGAACUGCAUUCGAUACUGCUGCGCUAGAGUACUGGAGAGGAGAUUGGAAUUUACGGUGUAGCAGUGAAAUGCGUAGAUAUCGUAAGGAAGACCAGUGGCGAAGGCGGAUCUCUGGACAGUUACUGACACUGAGGCACGAAGGCCAGGGGAGCAAACGGG
rnacentral:rRNA from 1 species